rnacentral:rRNA from 1 species
AACGAACGCUGGCGGCAUGCCUAACACAUGCAAGUCGAACGAGAAGUUCGGGUCUAGGGGCGCACGGGUGCGGAAGGCGGGGGAAGCUGCCCUUAGGUACGGAAUAACUCCCCGAAAGGGGUGCUAAGAAAGGUUAAUGUCUUCGGACCAAAGAUUUAUCGCCGUUGGAUGGGCCCGGGUUGGAUUAGCUGGUUGGUAGGGUAAAAGCGUACCAAGGCGACGAUGCAUAGCUGGUCUGGGAGGAUGAUCAGGCACACUGGGACUGAGACACGGCCCAGACUCCUACGGAAGGCAGCAGUGGGGAAUAUUGGACGAUGGGCGAGAGCCUGAUCCAGCAGUGCCGCGUAAGUGAUGAAGGCCUUAGGGUUGUAAAUCUCUUUUACCCGGGAUGAUAAUGACGGUACCGGGAGAAUAAGCUCCGGCUAACUCCGUG